GUGGGGAAUCUUGCACAAUGGGCGAAAGCCUGAUGCAGCCAUGCCGCGUGAGUGAAGAAGGCCCUAGGGUUGUAAAGCUCUUUCACCGGUGAAGAUAAUGACAGUAGUCGGAGAAGAAGCCCCGGCUAACUCCGUGCCAGCAGCCGCGGUAAUACGGAGGGGGCUAGCGUUGUCCGGAUUUACUGGGCGUAAAGCGCGCGUAGGCGGAUAAUCAAGUUGAGGGUGAAAGCCCGGAGCUCAACUCCGGAACUGCCCUCAAAACUGAUUGUCUUGAGUUCGGGAGAGGUGAGUGGAAUUCCUAGUGUAGAGGUGAAAUUCGUAGAUAUUAGGAAGAACACCAGUGGCGAAGGCGGCUCACUGGCCCGUUACUGACGCUGAGGUGCGAAAGCGUGGGGAGCAAACAGG
rnacentral:rRNA from 1 species